GAGUUUGAUCAUGGCUCAGGAUGAACGCUGGCGGCGUGCCUAACACAUGCAAGUCGAGCGGGAAGGGGAGAGACGGAGACUUCGGUUGAAGUUUCUUCCCGGAUAGCGGCGGACGGGUGAGUAACGCGUGGGUAACCUGCCUUCUACAGAGGGAUAGCCACUGGAAACGGUGAUUAAUACCUCAUGACACUGCCGGGGCGCAUGCUCUGACAGUCAAAGAUUUUAUCGGUAGAAGAUGGACCCGCGUCUGAUUAGCUGGUUGGUGAGGUAACGGCUCACCAAGGCGACGAUCAGUAGCCGGCCUGAGAGGGUGAACGGCCACACUGGAACUGAGACACGGUCCAGACUCCUACGGGAGGCAGCAGUGGGGAAUAUUCGGCAAUGGGGGGAACCCUGACCGAGCAACGCCGCGUGAAUGAUGAAGGCCUUCGGGUUGUAAAGUUCUGUCAUUCGGGAAGAUCGUGACG
rnacentral:rRNA from 1 species